UACAGAGGUCCCAAGCGUUGUUCGGAUUCACUGGGCGUAAAGGGUGCGUAGGUGGCGGGGUAAGUCAGGUGUGAAAUCUCGAGGCUCAACCUCGAAACUGCACUUGAUACUGCCUUGCUCGAGUACUGGAGAGGAGAUUGGAAUUUACGGUGUAGCAGUGAAAUGCGUAGAUAUCGUAAGGAAGACCAGUGGCGAAGGCGAAUCUCUGGACAGUUACUGACACUGAGGCACGAAGGCCAGGGGAGCAAACAGG
rnacentral:rRNA from 1 species